rnacentral:rRNA from 1 species
CAAAUGAAUUGACGGGGACCCGCGCAAGCGGUGGAUGAUGUGGAUUAAUUCGAUGCAACGCGAAAAACCUUACCUACCCUUGACAUGCCAGGAACUUGCCAGAGAUGGCUUGGUGCUCGAAAGAGAACCUGGACACAGGUGCUGCAUGGCUGUCGUCAGCUCGUGUCGUGAGAUGUUGGGUUAAGUCCCGCAACGAGCGCAACCCUUGUCAUUAGUUGCCACCAUUCAGUUGGGCACUCUAAUGAGACUGCCGGUGACAAACCGGAGGAAGGUGGGGAUGACGUCAAGUCCUCAUGGCCCUUAUGGGUAGGGCUUCACACGUCAUACAAUGGUCGGUACAGAGGGUUGCCAACCCGCGAGGGGGAGCCAAUCCCACAAAGCCGAUCGUAGUCCGGAUUGGAGUCUGCAACUCGACUCCAUGAAGUCGGAAUCGCUAGUAAUCGUGGAUCAGCAUGUCACGGUGAAUACGUUCCCGGGUCUU